UUAUUUAUUUAUCUUAGUUAUACAUCCUAAUUUAUCCUAAUUUAUUUUAAUUAAGUUAUAAUAAUUAGUAUAACAAGUUUAACUCCAUUUUUAUUUUGUGUCAUUUUUUUAAUUUUCUUUAGAAAAUGUCAGUUAUCAUUUUCUUAUGUUAUUAAGGUAUUUUGCAUUUUUUAUUUAAGAAUAUUUCUGAUUAUUUGCAAUAGGUUCACAUUGGCUGUUGGCAAUAUGUGUGAGUUGACUACAGAACGUCUCCAAUUUUAGUUAAUGACUCCAAUUAAAUAAACUCCUUUAAUGGCAGGUCUUAUUGAAAAAGAUAUUGUAUGAAGAAAAAAGUGCUUAAAGAAGUGGUUUUCACAAAGAUUUUAAUUCAUGAUUACGAUACGAUUCACGAUUAAAGAAUAAAAAUGUAAUUUUAAUGUGCUUUUUGUUUGAAAUAAAUAAGCAUAUAAUAUGAA